CUGUAGCUCCGGGCCCUCCUGCUAUGCGAAAAGAGAGUGAGGGGCUGACUGGACAGGGGUGCUCGGAGGGCCAGCGUGGCCCCCCACCCUGCUCACUGAGCUGAAGCCGCCAUGGCCCAGGUGACAUUGGCAGCUGUGGGGCUCCUUGGACCCGUGGGAUGGAAGCCUGGCCCGAGUCCCCCAUGACACCUGGCAAACCUGUGGCUAAGAACUCACAGUUACUGAGCUCUGGCUGCUGUGGCAUGAGGGUUGAGCCGUUGACCUGAUUGUUUCCUACAUAUUUCCCAUGCUGCAUUCAGAGCAGGGUCCAGGCCUGUCCUCAGUCUUUCCUCCCCCAGGGGCUCCGCACACAGGCCGGACGCAGAGUGUGCCCACUGAUAACAGCCCCGAGGGACUUUGUGCGCAUUUAAACCCAUCAAGGUGAAUGCAGGGGUGCCCAGGUGGUCUGCCUGCCAGGGCAGGAGUCUUUAGCUGUGAUGUUGCACUGCCCCUUGGAGAUCUUGUCCUGGUGAUUGGGAACCCAGGAUGCUCCACCCCACCCUGGGCCAAGGCCCGUGACAGAUUGGCACAGAGUCAGAGGACGCAGCCUUCCUGCCUGCAGUUGGCGCAGCUGUGCAGGACAUUUCUGCUUGGGGGUCCCAGAGAUUGGGGUGGGGUGCAGCGGGCCCAGCUUCCCUUGCCGUCUGCUUCCUCUCCUUUCCUGAGACUGCCCUGUGGGCCCCUCGACACAGCUUCCGGUCCCAGGCUGCACUCUGGAGAGCCAGACUGAGGACGCUCGGAAAGACAGAGGACC
rnacentral:lncRNA from 1 species